rnacentral:lncRNA from 1 species
GAUGGAGUGAUGGAGUGCAGGGGCGUGACCUCAGCUCACUGCAACCUUCACCUCCCAGGUUCAAGUGAUUCUCCUGCCUCUGCCUCCCGAAUAGCUGGGAUUACAGGUAUGCACUACUACACUGGGCUAAGUUUUGUAUUUUCAGUAGAGAUGGGGUUUCACCACUUGGCCAGGCUGGUCUCGAACUUCUGACCUCAAGCAAUCCUCCCGCCUUAGGCUCCCAAAGUGGUGGGAUUACAGGCCUGAACCACAGGGCCCAGCCUUGGCUUGUGGUUCUUUUACUAAAUAUGGAAUAGCGAUAAAGCUUAUGUAUCAUAUUUGUAAAAGAAAGCUAGGCACAUGAAGCAGAAUUAAUUCAUGAGGGAAAAUAUUUAUUUUACUCUCAAGUCUCCCGAAAGUUAUUGUAUUCAUUUAAACUCAAUUUCUAAUUUUUUUAGUUACCCAAAUACUAUUGCAUUAAAUGCAUUAAAGAGAGCAUUGUACCUAGCAGAUAUGUGAGAAACAGUUUGACUUUUUAACCACUAAAAAAUGUCCAAAUAUCAGAAUUUAUUUUAUUUUAAAUUUCAAAAAAAUCCUUAUUUUAUAUGAUAAAAAUCAAGUUGAUUUGUAAGUCAUAUAUAUCAGCUUAUUAUCAAGAACUAUUGCUAUGUAAAAGAACUUAGGACUGUGUAAUUAGAACUAUGUAAUAGAAAUAUUUACAGAAGACUAUAUCUGCCAACAUGAGAUACUCUACCACCAUAACUUAUAUCAAUGACUCUUGUUCUAUCAUCGUGUGCAUUAUAAAUAGUGCAAAAUUUCAAGAAAUUUCCAUUUUGAGAUAUAAGAAAUCAAUAUGCUGGGAAAACUAAUAUCAAACUCUGAAGUAGAUAUAUUUCAUUUUAUAUAUAUUUUAAAUGACCUUUAACUAAAGGUUAAAUUGGAUUGACACACUGAAGAUAAAUUUUUUUAUUAUUAUCAUCAUUAAAUUAUUAUUUUGUGACUAUUACUAUUCAACUAACACUACAUCUGAUAAUAUAAUGAUAAACACAUUCCUUUUUUAUAUUAACUAGCAUUUUUUUCGAGUUUCUUAAAGCUUUGUUUGCAACUCUGGAUGAUUUAUGUGGGACAUGAUAAAACCAAUCUCCACACAGGCUAAUUUGAGACCUGGCAUCAUUGUCUCUCUCUGAACAAUCUGGAAGCUUUUUUAUGGUAGUGAAUUGCUCAUUUGGGGUGCGAGGAUUGAAGCAGGCAAGUGUCUGGGUCAUUAUGUGCUCAGCCAUGUCUUACAUAGGUGUUUGGAUUUGUAUAGCACUGGUUAAUCUGUAAUGUGUUUUAAUUUAGAGACAUAAAUUCUGGCCAGAAUUCUAUGCUUUAAUUAAAUAGUGUCAAGGGAUUGAUCGCAGCAUAUUGAUCCAUAACUGAACAUUUUAUCCAUGAAGUCACAGGUCCAGUGAGCUGAUUAUAGUCUAUUAUCAGGACAAUGUAUAAUUUGCAUGUUUUUCAUUUGAGAGUAAUGAUACAUAGCCAUUGAUAAGCCAUGUUCCUCUUCCUUUCACCCCAUUAAGCUACAAGUUUGGAUAAACAAGUGUACUUAAUUUCAAUUUCAUAUAUUGUUUGAUGGCACCCCUGAGAAUAAAGAGGCAGGUUUCAUAAGACAAUGGGCUAACUUAAAAUCAGUUUUUGGAUACUGUUUCAUACAAACUGAAUACACUUAACUAGAAAAUGAUAUCUCUACUUUUUCCUUUCAAAGAUAAUGACACUCCUUUUUUCCCCCUCAGUCAUCAUUGCCUAGAAUACCCUACUUCAAACAAUGAAACUCACUUUCAAUCUAUCAUCAUCUUUCACUCUUCAGUGAAACCCCAUGUAGCUUCCAGAUGUGGUUUCAGGAUUUCUCUAUAUUGUUGGAGAGCAUUUAGGGCUCAAGAGAAAUCAUUGCUGCUUUAGCGCCUGGAGAAGAGCUACAGCUCAGGUGUUCAAUAGAAGAGAUGCACACAGGCAUCUAUGUUGUCAGCAAGCUAGCACUAUCAAAGCAUCUGGAGACAACAAUAGGAGUCAAGGAUACCAUCUCUAGCACAGAUCCCCGAACAAGAACCUGAGACCUGCCGAACAGCAGGUGCCAAAGAUGCUGCUGUAACACCACAGCCCUCCCAUCUUCCAUCCUCCACUGGCGCUGAGUGGCAGUCCCAUGUGACAGGAAGUGGAGGCAGAGCUGGGCCAGCCCAGGAGCCACGUGCUGGAGCCAGAUACUCUGUUUUUCUACAAAUGGAAAGUUUGUGGCAUCCUUGACUCAAGCAAAUUUUUCAGCACCAUUUUUCAAGAGCGUGUGCUCACUUCACCUCUCUGUAUCGUGUUUUGAUGCUUGUCCUGGAAACCAACCAUGAGCUGUGAUGAAAUCCAGGCAACUGAGUUGUGUUUCAGCCCAAAGCAGCAAAUGGAAUCCAGCUUCAGGACCAUCAUCUGACAUAGGGGAAGAAGACUUACAUAGAAGGCCUAACCAGCACCCAAGAUCAUGCUCAUAGGUGGAGGAGACUUGCUUUGUCUCAGAUGAGACUUUGGACUGUGGACUUUUGAGUUAAUGCUGAAAUGAGUUGAGACUUUGGGGAACUGUUGGGAAGGCAUGAUUGGUUUUAAAUAUGAAUAUAUGAGAUUUGGGAGGGGGUCAGGGGUGGAAUGAUAUGGUUUGGCUCUGUGUCCCCACCCAAAUCUCAUCUUGUAGCUCCCAUAAUCCUCCCAUGUUGUGGGAGGGACCCAGUGGGAGAUGAUUGAAUCAUGAGGGCGGGUCUUUCUCAUGCUGUUCAUGAUCCCAUUCAUGUGAGAAAGACCCAUGUGAUCAUGAAUGGGUCUCACAAGAUCUGAUGGUGUUAAAAAUGGGAGUUUCUCUGCACAAGCUCUCUGCCUGCUGCCAUUCACAAAGGAUGUGACUUGCUUCUCCUUGCCUUCUGCUAUGAUUGUGAGGCCUCCCUAGCCAUGUGGAACUGUGAGUCCAAUUAAACCUCUUUCUUUUGUAAAUU